AUCUGUAAAGAAAUGAGCCUGUCCCUGGGGCCAGCAAUGACAAACCAAGCUGUGAACUGACCUUGCUCCACGUCUCCCAUGAGAGAGGUUUCUGAGAAAAGAGCCAGAAAUCAAACCUGGAACCUGUUGCUGCUAAUCAAAUCAUGAUAGAAAGUUUAUUUACGGAGAAAAAUACCACAGGAGCUAGAGCUUCAUGAUUUCUAUCAAAAG